AACCUCCGCAAUGUGAGAAAUCGCGACGGGGGGAUCCCAAGUGCCAUUCUUAACGGGAUGGCUUUUCAUUAGUGUAAAGAGCUUUUGGAAUAAGGGCUGGGCAAGACCGGUGCCAGCCGCCGCGGUAACACCGGCAGCUCUAGUGGUAGCCAUUUUUAUUGGGCCUAAAGCGUUCGUAGCCGGUUUGAUAAGUCUCUGGUGAAAUCCUAUGGCUUAACUGUGGGAAUUGCUGGAGAUACUAUUAGACUUGAGGUCGGGAGAGGUUAGCGGUACUCCUAGGGUAGGGGUGAAAUCCUGUAAUCCUGGGAGGACCACCUGUGGCGAAGGCGGCUAACUGGAACGAUCCUGACGGUGAGGGACGAAAGCCAGGGGCGCGAACCGGAUUAGAUACCCGGGUAGUCCUGGCCGUAAACGAUGUGGACUGGGUGUUGGAAUGGCUUCGAGCUGUUUCAGUGCCGAAGGGAAGCUGUUAAGUCCACCGCCUGGGAAGUACGGUCGCAAGACUAAAACUUAAAGGAAGU
rnacentral:rRNA from 1 species